rnacentral:lncRNA from 1 species
CCUUAGCAGCAUGUACCUUUUCUUUUCCACUCUUACAAUUAAUUAACAUCCUCCCCCAAAGAUGUCAAUCACUACAAGCUUGUUCUAUAGUACUGUGAAUGAACUAGUGUGAAGGAAGUUACAUUGAUUAUUCUCAUAUGUCCAAACAAACUUAUGCAACUUCAUAUUCCCCGCAUGAAAAGAACUUCCCCGCAUGCAUUAUUU